ACAACCAUAAACAAGUAAAAAUAAUUGAUACUAUGACAUGACAUGGUAUACAACCUCAAAACUAAAUUAUAAUAAGAAAAUAAAUCUGCAAAAGUAGUAAAAUCAGACACUUUCUAUAAUUUGGAGCAGCCAUUUGUUAUGACUAAAUGGCUAAAGGAAAAAUCAGCAACUAAAUUUCCUUUCUAGAAAUGAACAUGUGUUUUGCAUAUUAUCAGCCACAAAAGGAUGCAAAUUUAACUACAUCAGAAUGCCGGCUAAGACACCUAGUAACUAUAGGGGCUGAGUAGACGGGGAGAAUAUAUAACAUAUAAGAUAUUUAUACCUGGUACAAAUAUGCCCAUUGAUCUGCUCCUAUUAAAAAAUAUUUAUGCUUAACAUCCCACCCUAUCCCUGUCUCUAGCUUGGCAGAAUCUCCCCGGAGAUGAGUGAACAACCUCU
rnacentral:lncRNA from 1 species